ACUUUUUUUUUAUUGUUCCACCUUUGUCUCCCCUCAACCUGUUUCUCUCAUAUUGAGAAAGGAUGAAUUCAGCAUCAAAAUCACCAAAACAACUGUUCUUUCAAUUCCUCAAAUUCUCUGUCGGGUUUUAGGAACAAAUCAGCAUGUUUAACACUCAAACUUUUCAGUGUGGUUCACCGACAGGAAACGUUGCUAAAGCAACAGAAUUGGUCUAAAAAAAAAAAAAAGAACAGCAGAUGUCAGAGUAAGAGGAAAUUUGCUAUCCUGAGGUGAGAUCAGAAUUUUUUUGUGUACACCUUCUCGACUGCAAGCUUAUUUCCUUUUACUGCGCCUCAUUGCCUGGCAGUUAAAUUACUCAACUCAGUAACACAACCUCCACAUGUGAAGCUCAAUGGAAAAUGUUGCUUCCACGGGUCUUCGCGCUUAUAUGUUUGACUGCUGUCUGUGCAGCUCAGGAUGAAAAUGAUCAAACCACCACUAUUCCAACACCUGCCUAUGGUAAUAUUUUCACACUGGCUCCUUUUAUUAAAGAGGAGAUUUUUCAAGUUUUAAAUUGCUAAGUUUUUCAAAAUAAAAUAUCAUCUUAAGAAUGUGUAUUAAAAAAGUAUGUAAAAAAAAAAAAAAAAAGCCCAAUUAUGGUGCUAAAUUGGCGGAAAAGUUGCGAUACAUAGGGAAUAACACAGGAAAUGAUCUCUCUUAACUGGGUAUUGAAA